rnacentral:rRNA from 1 species
GCAGGCUGCAACUCGCCUGCAUGAAGUCGGAAUUGCUAGUAAUCGCGGAUCAGCAUGCCGCGGUGAAUACGUUCUCGGGCCUUGUACACACCGCCCGUCACACCAUGGGAGUCGGUAACACCCGAAGUCUGUAGCCUGACGCAAGAGGGCGCAGCCGAAGGUGGGAUUGAUGACUGGGGUGAAGUCGUAACAAGGUAGC